UACCAGCACCCCGAGUGGUCGGGACGAUUAUUGGGCCUAAAGCAUCCGUAGCCGGUUCUGCAAGUCCUCCGUUAAAUCCAGCUGCUCAACAGAUGGGCCGCGGAGGAUACUACAGAGCUAGGAGGCAGGAGAGGCAAGCGGUACUCAGUGGGUAGGGGUAAAAUCCGUUGAUCCAUCGAAGACCACCAGUGGCGAAGGCGGCUUACUGGUCCGAUUACUGACGCUGAGGUGCGAAAGCGUGGGGAGCAAACAGG
rnacentral:rRNA from 1 species